rnacentral:rRNA from 1 species
UGUGGUGUAUGGCCGUUGUUAGUUGGUGGAGUGAUUUGUCUGGUUAAUUCCGAUAACGAACGAGACUCUGUCCUGCUAAAUAGUUUCAACGUCUUUUUCGCGUUGGAAUUUCUUCUUAGAGGGACUGGCGGCGUCUAGCCGCACGAGAUUGAGCAAUAACAGGUCUGUGAUGCCCUUAGAUGUUCUGGGCUGCACGCGCGCUACACUGAAGGGCUCAGCGUGUUUUCCCUUUUCGAGAGAAACGGGUAACCCGCUGAAUUCCCUUCGUGGUAGGGAUCGGGGCUUGCAAUUAUUCCCCGU